rnacentral:rRNA from 1 species
AUUGAACGCUGGCGGCAGGCUUAACACAUGCAAGUCGAGCGGAGAUGAGGUGCUUGCACCUUAUCUUAGCGGCGGACGGGUGAGUAAUGCUUAGGAAUCUGCCUAUUAGUGGGGGACAACAUUCCGAAAGGAAUGCUAAUACCGCAUACGUCCUACGGGAGAAAGCAGGGGAUCUUCGGACCUUGCGCUAAUAGAUGAGCCUAAGUCGGAUUAGCUAGUUGGUGGGGUAAAGGCCUACCAAGGCGACGAUCUGUAGCGGGUCUGAGAGGAUGAUCCGCCACACUGGGACUGAGACACGGCCCAGACUCCUACGGGAGGCAGCAGUGGGGAAUAUUGGACAAUGGGGGAAACCCUGAUCCAGCCAUGCCGCGUGUGUGAAGAAGACCUUAUGGUUGUAAAGCACUUUAAGCGAGGAGGAGGCUACUGAGACUAAUACUCUUGGAUAGUGGACGUUACUCGCAGAAUAAGCACCGGCUAACCCUGUGCCAGCCGCCGCAGUAAUAC